rnacentral:rRNA from 1 species
CUGAUUGAACGUGCUUGCACGGACUUGACGUUGGUUUACCAGCGAGUGGCGGACGGGUGAGUAACACGUAGGUAACCUGCCCCAAAGCGGGGGAUAACAUUUGGAAACAGAUGCUAAUACCGCAUAACAAUUUGAAUCGCAUGAUUCAAAUUUAAAAGAUGGCUUCGGCUAUCACUUUGGGAUGGACCUGCGGCGCAUUAGCUUGUUGGUAGGGUAACGGCCUACCAAGGCUGUGAUGCGUAGCCGAGUUGAGAGACUGAUCGGCCACAAUGGAACUGAGACACGGUCCAUACUCCUACGGGAGGCAGCAGUAGGGAAUCUUCCACAAUGGGCGCAAGCCUGAUGGAGCAACACCGCGUGAGUGAAGAAGGGUUUCGGCUCGUAAAGCUCUGUUGUUAGAGAAGAACGUGCGUGAGAGCAACUGUUCACGCAGUGACGGUAUCUAACCAGAAAGUCACGGCUAACUACGUGCCAGCAGCCGCGGUAAUACGUAGGUGGCAAGCGUUAUCCGGAUUUAUUGGGCGUAAAGCGAGCGCAGGCGGUUUGAUAAGUCUGAUGUGAAAGCCUUUGGCUUAACCAAAGAAGUGCAUCGGAAACUGUCAGACUUGAGUGCAGAAGAGGACAGU